GUCCAGGGAUGGGAAUCAAACCCACGACCUUCCGCUUACCGGGCAGAUGCCAUGUCCACUAGGCUACCCUGGA
rnacentral:tRNA from 1 species